UGUAGAGAUACGGGGGUGCCUUCGGGAACUGUGAGACAGGUGCUGCAUGGCUGUCGUCAGCUCGUGUUGUGAAAUGUUGGGUUAAGUCCCGCAACGAGCGCAACCCUUAUCCUUUGUUGCCAGCGGUCCGGCCGGGAACUCAAAGGAGACUGCCAGUGAUAAACUGGAGGAAGGUGGGGAUGACGUCAAGUCAUCAUGGCCCUUACGACCAGGGCUACACACGUGCUACAAUGGCGCAUACAAAGAGAAGCGACCUCGCGAGAGCAAGCGGAUCUCAUAAAGUGCGUCGUAGUCCGGAUUGGAGUCUGCAACUCGACUCCAUGAAGUCGGAAUCGCUAGUAAUCGUGGAUCAGAAUGCCACGGUGAAUACGUUCCCGGGCCUUGUACACACCGCCCGUCACACCAUGGGAGUGGGUUGCAAAAGAAGUAGGUAGCUUAACCUUCGGGAGGGCGCUUACCACUUUGUGAUUCAUGACUGGGGUGAAGUCGUAACAAGGUAACCGUAGGGGAACCUGCGGUUGGAUCACCUCCUUACCUUAAAGAAGC
rnacentral:rRNA from 1 species